rnacentral:lncRNA from 1 species
CAGGUAUGCCUGUGAAUCCUUUCCUCGGUUGCUUGUGUUGCUUGUCUGAUACCUGGGUAUAGAUUGACAGAUGUCUUGUUGUGGUUGCCAAUCAUUCAAUCUGCUUUGUUAAAGCAGUUGUCGGGGUAUUCAUUUCUUAGGCCCAAAUUCUAAUUCAAGACCAAGAGCUCCAAUCUGUGCCAUGUCCUGCACAUGUCAUUGAAAUUGAACGAAUUAACGACUGUGAGCUGAUUAAGUCGGUCUUUGUUGGAUUCUUAUCUUUAAUUAUUAUUAUGACAAGGUUAUAACUCCACAUUUAUUUCAGAUUUGAGGAUGCCUGUUUUGAUAUUACUCCUUUCCGAUGGGGCAGCUCUUUGUCGCCAGACAACAGAAUAUGAAUCUCUGAGUAUGUCUCACUUGCAGGUGUGAAAGCAGAGCUUGUUGACUCCGAAGACGAAAGCGGGGAGGAAACG